GAAUGCCUGCGAGCAUCCC
rnacentral:misc_RNA from 1 species